rnacentral:rRNA from 1 species
AUGGCACUUUUUAAAUCCAUAUCCACCUUGUGUGCAAUGUCAGUCGAUCUUCUUCAUGGAGAUCGACCAAACAUCAACCUUUAUUUUUUUAACUCUUUGUCUGAAAAAUAUUAUGAAUAAACAAUUCAAAAUACAACUUUCAACAACGGAUCUCUUGGCUCUCGCAUCGAUGAAGAACGCAGCGAAAUGCGAUACGUAAUGUGAAUUGCAGAAUUCAGUGAAUCAUCGAAUCUUUGAACGCAUAUUGCGCUCUUUGGUAUUCCGAAGAGCAUGCUUGUUUGAGUAUCAGUAAACACCUCAAAGCUUUUGGAUUUUUUAAUCGAAAAGCUUUGGACUUGAGCAAUCCCAACACCAACCUUUUUGAGAUCGGUGGCGGGUUGCUUGAAAUGCAGGUGCAGCUGGACAUUCUCCUGAGCUAAAAGCAUAUUCAUUUAGUCCCGUCAAACGGAUUAUUACUUUUGCUGCAGCUAACAUAAAGGGAGUUUGACCGUAUUGGCUGACUGAUGCAGGAUUUUACAAGGGUCGGCAACGAUUCUUGUUAAACUCGAUCUCAAAUCAAGUAAGACUACCCGCUGAACUUAAGCAUAUCAAUAAGCGGAG